GGAGGAGUCGAGCAGAGAGAGUUGCUUUUUCAGGAAACGGGAGUAAAGUAGUAAACUUACAGGAACAUAUACCACUACCAACGUUGGGAUUAAUAUCUGCAUCGAUCUGCCCACCCUUGUCUCCUGGAUCGUAGCUCAGAUCAGCGUGAACCACGUGGGUCUCUGCUCCCUGAUCUGUUUCCUGUGUUUGGAAAAACUUCCAGCUUCAUCACGAAGUUUUUCUCGGUUUGUGGGCUCGUCUAAAGCUGAGUAACAGCAGAAGAGUCUGGUGGAGCAGCCGAGGAACAAUUUCAGCCAUUUGGACUCAGCUCAGCCACUACAGAGGAAACAAUGACUUCAACACAAAAAGACCAACAUGGAGCAAGAAGUCAGCGCUCUCAGGAGGCCGACAAACCUCACAGAAGAAAGGGAGAGAAAACCUACAGCUGUGAUGAGUGUGGAAAGGAUUUUACCCAG